CGGCAGCCAGGCACCACAGGCAGCAGCCACACGCCCUUACACCACCAUGAAGGCCUUUGUGUGCUCUUUCCUCGUAGUGCUGCUGGUGGCGGCCGUGUUCGCCCAGGAGAAGGCCAAGGAGACCUUGAAGGGCGCCGAGGCCUACUACGCCUACGCCGCCCCCUACGCCUACAGCGCCUUCGGCUACCCCGCCGUCAGCGCCUACUCCGCCUACCCUUACGCUGCCGUCGGCUAUCCCUACUACUACCGCUGAACACGCCUCACUGGGCUUAUGCAUCACACUUGAGAAGCCGUGCCUACUGUAUUUCAGAUCACCAGUGCCAUAAAUAAAUGUGUAUAUAGCAACAA